rfam:Caenorhabditis remanei strain PB4641 contig6.22, whole genome shotgun sequence.
GGGGGUAUAGCUCAGUGGUAGAGCGCGCGCGUAGCGUGGGAGAGGGCUGGGGUUCGAUUCCCCAUACCUCCA